CAAGUUCCUGAUCAAGAACUUUCUAGAAUCAUGCUUAUCUAAAAUGCCAGACUUGUGCUUGAAAGGCCCACCGGGGGUUUUACUUGGUUGCAAUCAUUCAUAUAAAGUUCCUAUGUGAACACUGAUGAGAGGACUCAAAAGUAUUUGCUUGACUUUAGUGAAAUAUCCCCCUUCUUCCCCAGUCACCCAAGCAAGCUCUCACGCUGGCUCUCAGCCUUUGUGACAAUGUGUCUUCAGUCAUCAGGCCCUCUCUAGGAGAGUCCGUGUCACAGACUCUUAUAAAGGGAGGAUGGCUGGACUGAUGUGGACUGAUGGACUUGGGGUGAGGGAGAGGGAUGACGGGGAGAACAGCCAGAGGAUAUUAUUUCAACCAGAACCUCACUGCUGACCAGAGUUUGGAACCUUGAGAAGAUGGCGAAAGCCUGUACGUGUUGGUGUCCAACAUGUUACAUGAAGGGUUUCCCACAGAGACACAAAGCAAAGAAAACACCUAAGAGAAGGAACAAAAGUGAGGCACACAUGCUUUGGCUGAAGAAGCUUCUAGACACCAUGAAGUACCAAGUCACAUUUGUUCCCAUUGUUGACUCAAAGAACGAUGGGUCCCGAUGCAAGCCUAAGGCCACCGUAAUCAUCGUCGAGCUUGCUUCUCCACCCCAGGGUCUCUAAAUAAAACCUCUUCUUUCUCGGAAAA
rnacentral:lncRNA from 1 species